rnacentral:rRNA from 1 species
GUGAACGCUGGCGGUCGGCCUAACCCCUGCCAGUUGAACGGCAGAACAGUAAUCGCUUGCUCUUACGGGUGGCGAGUGGCGGUAGGGUGAGGAAUACCUCGGAAUCUCUUUUUUCGUGGGGGAUAACGUUGGGACACUUACGCUAAUACCGCAUAUGAUCUACGGGUGAAAGCAGGGGAUUUUCGGACCUUGCGCGAUUGACUGAGCCGAUGUCGGUUUAGCUAGUUGGCGGGGUAAAGGCCCACCAGGGCGACGAUCCGUAACUGGUCUGAGCAGGUGUACACCCACACGGGAACUGAGAGACGGUCCAGACACUGACAGAAGGCAGCGGUGGGGAAUAGUGGACAAUGGGCGCAAGCCUGAUCCAGGCAUACCGCGUGGAUGAAGAAGGCCUUCGGGUGGGAAAGCCCUUUUGUUGUUAUAGAAAAGUAGCAGGUUAAUACCCCGUUGUGCUGACGGUACCCAAAGAAUAAGCACCGGCUAACUUCGUG